rnacentral:tRNA from 1 species
CAUUAAAUGACUGAAAAAGUAUUGAUUUUUUAAAUCAACCAAUAAUAGUACCUACCAAUCUAUUUUUAAUGA